UGCCAAGGUGAUCACUGGAAGGCACACUGCCCCAGAGGACAAAGGUUCUCUGGGCCAGAAGCUCCCAAUCAGAUGAUCCAACGACAGGACUGAGGGUUCCCGAGCUCAUGUCAUCACCCUCACUGAGCCGUGGGAUCAAGGCCAUCAAGCUACAGAUGUUCCUACGAAUGGAACCCCAAAUGAGCUCAACUCACAACUUCUACCAAGAACCCCUGGACCAACCCACUGGCCCUUUGACUGGCCUAGAGAGUUCCCCUCUGGAGGACACUACAACUGCAGGGCCCCUUCUUCAUCCCUAUCCAGCAGAAAGUAGCUAGAGCAGUCAUCACCCAAUUCCCAACAGCAGUUGGGGUGUCCUGUUUAGAGGGGGGAUUGAGAGGUGAAGCCAGCUGGACUUCCUGGGUCAAGUGGGGGCUUGGAGAUCUUUUCUGUCUUAGAAGGAGAUUGUAAAAGUCACCAAUCAGUGCUCUGUAAAAAUGCACCAAUCAGUGCUCUGUAACUAGCAAGAGAAUUGAAAAAUGCACAAUCAGCGCUCUGUAAAAUGCACCAAACAUCAGGAUCCCAAAAGUAGCCAAUCUCAGGGAGGAUUGAAAAAAGGGCACUCUGACAGGACAAAAACAGAACAUAGGAGGGGACAAAUAAGGGAAUAAAAGCUGGCUACCCCAGCCAGCAGAGGCAACCUGCUUGCAUCCCCUUCCACACUGUGGAAGCUUUGUUCUUUCGCUCUUCACAAUAAACCUUGCUACUGCUCACUCUUUGGGCCCGUGCCACCUUUAAGAGCUGUAACACUCACUGCAAAGGUCUGCGGCUUCAUUCUUCAUUCACUGGAAGCAACCAACUUGGGACACACCACCAUGCCUGGUUAAUUUUUUGUAUUUUCAGUAGAGGUGGGGUUUCACUGUGUUAGCCAGGAUUGUCUUGAUCUCCUGACCUCAUGAUCUGCCUGCCUCUGCCUCCCAAAGUGCUGGGAUUACAGGCGUGAGCCGCUAUGCCCGGUGAACACAUACAUUUUCAACAGAAGAGCAAGAGAGCAUAGAACCCAGAAUAGCAGAGGCAUAUAGGCCCCGUUUUGCAGGAGUCAAAUAACUUAAUUCUUAGCACAAUCCUGUAAGAUGAAUUCUGUUAUAAUCCCACUCUCUAGAUAAAGAAUUCAAGGCACCAAGAGUUUAGUUCAUGAGCAGUAAGAGAUUUGGGCCCAAGUGGUUUUGUGUCAAAGCUUAUGCUUGGCAUAAUUUUUUGAUAGAGAGCCAGAUGGUAAAUAUUUUGGAAUAUUAGUGUUCAAAUAGUCUGUGUCACAACUAGUGCCUCUGCUGUUGUAACAUAAAAGCAGCCAUAGCCAAUGUAUAAAAGAAUAGCUGUCAACUUAAAUGCCCAUCAAUGAUAGAUUGGAUAAAGACGAUGUGGUACAUAUACACUAUGGCAUACUAUGCAGCCAUGAAAAACAAUGAGAUCAUAUCCUGUGCAGGAACAUGGAUGGAACUGGAGGUCCUUAUCCUUAGCAAACAAACACAAGAACAGAAAACCAAAUAUUGCAUGUUUUCACUUAUAAGCAGGAGCUAAAUGAUGAGAACACAUGGAUACAUAGAGGGGAACAGCACACACUUGGGCCUAUUGGAGGGUGGAGGGUGGGAGUGGGGAGAGGAUCAGGAAAAAUAACUAAUGGGUAGUAAGCUUAGUACCUGGGUGAUAAAAUAAUCUGUAUAACAAACCCCUAUGACACAUGUAUACCUAUGUAACAAAGUGGCACAUGUAACCCUGAACUUAAAAGUUAAGAAAAAAGAAUGGGUUAUGUAUGUGUUCUAAUAAAACUUUACUUGUAAAAACUGGUGAAGGCCAGAAUCUGGGUUGUCACAUGGGGCAGGAAGAGAUGAGGACUGAGGAAAAGAGGAAGAAGUCAAGACAGAGGAAUAAGGGAGGAAUGCAAAUAAGUUCCAAAGAUAUAUUUCAAGCAUUUUUAGUAUUUUUUUCUUAAUUUGCUCCUCCAGCAACAAUUUAUGUUUAUUUAUUUAUUUUUAGACUAGUCAAGUGGAGUAGUGGAAGAAGGGAAAGAGUAGAACAAGGAGGUUGAUCUGUAACUGACUGUGAACAGUCGAUUGAGAUAACUCGCUACCUUAGGACCAGCCCAGCAGGAAUUUUUUAACUGGGCAGGAUGGUGAUAGGGGAGGUGUAUUUUGUCAAUCUUUAGCAUCAUAAGCUCAGAGAAAACAUUUCUGUAGAGAUGUAAAUGGCCCCAAAGAAUGAAGAUGUUGGAAUUUGGAACCAUUUCAAGCCAAUGGAUAGUGAUUUCUAUUUUCAGGUUUUUUGUUUUGUUUUGUUUUUUGAGACACAGCCUUGCUCUGUUACCCAGGCUGGAGUGCAGUGGUGUGAUCUUGGCUCACUGCAACCUCCGCAUCCUGGGUUCAAAAGAUUCUCAUUCCUCAACCUCCCAAGUAGCUGGGAUUACAGGCGUGUGCCACUGCACCUGGCUAAUUUUUUUUGUAUUUUUGGUAGAGACGGGGUUUCAUUAUGUUGGCCAGGCUGGUCUCAAACUCCUGGCCUCAGGUGAUCUGCCCGCCUCGGCCUCCCGAAGUGCUGGGAUUAGAGAUGUGAGCCACCACUCCUGGCUGUUUUGCCUUUUAAAUAAUCAACAAUGAUUUAAUAGUCAAUUGGUGAAUCCUUCCUCAAUCCCUGGCUGAAAGGCGGGUGACUACUGUCUCUCUCCCAACCCUCUUUUGCAUUUGCAAAACUGUGGCAGGGAAGAGGCUUGGGAAGUAAGCUCAUUUGCCUCCUUGCCACUGGAUUAGCAAGCAAUGUCUCCUUCUUCCCUGUGACAAUAUCGGGUAGAUUGGAGGCAAGUGUAAUAGGCACAUUUCCGGAGGAGAAAGCUGUGACCCAUCCAGUUUGGAUAAAUGCCCUGUGGUUGGCGGGUCCAAAGCUCACAGGCAGAGCCUGAUAUUUUAAACCCAAAUUCCUAAAUAUAUUGGUCCUUUGGCCAAAGCUGACCCUUAUAUGUAUUUAGUUUGGCCUGAAAAACAUUUUUAUAAAAGAAAAUUCAGCUGUUUAUAUAUUUUUAAAGAUUUCACUUAAAAGGCUAGAUUUCUGUUGACAAAUCAGGAGAGUUGGCAUUCUGGAUGUUAGAGCCAUUACCCCCAAGGCGAGGCUGGUGAUGAAAUAUGAGGAGUGGGAAGCCGGUGGGGCUCAGGGCUUGUUUUCUAGGCUGCUUCUUUUAGAAACUGCUCUCAUGUGUUUACUUAGUCCAAACACUCCAUCAAGAAACAAGGUGGCCCAGAUUAGAACAGUGUGCUUGCAGCUUCUUGGUUGCUAACAUUGCCACAAAACAAAUUACAGCAACAAAAAUUUCCUUUUAUAAUAGCACAUCCAUAACUGGUAUUGCAGAGAGUCUAUAACGAGAGACAUGGUAUAAAUACCCUGGGGCCAUGGAAGAGAUAGAUGAAGAAGAAAAGAAAAAAAGCUUUCUAAACACUAUCAUAAAUAAGUGAUUUUUGUUGUUGUGUUGUUGUUUCACUUUGACUUUAGAAAUAGUGAUCAGCUCAUGAAAUCAAGCAUUUUUGAGACAAUGAAUCUCUCAGCAUGGGGGCUAAUGAGAGAACAGAUAACUGCCUGGGGCUGAAUAUCUGAUUUUUCAGGGAGAAGAAAAGCUGAAAUGAGGGGAUAAAGUGCUUAUUCUGUUGUGUAAACAGAAAGUGAAUUAGAGAGGAACAUGUUUAUAUCCUAUAAAGUCUAACAGCCACUUAAGUGGAUGGUAUUAUUUGAGAAGACAGAGUUUGCUGCUAAUGGCCACUCUGCUCAUCUCCCAGCUUGGCAGCUGCUUAGGCUUAAAAAGCUAUGAAAGAACUGGAACAGAGUCCUGCUUAGUGAGUGGACUGAGCACGGGGGGUGAUUCUGAUGCUCUGUGAGAGACAGCAGGUGAUUGGGAAUAGCCCAUGGUUAGAAAUCGAGUAUAUAGGAAUUGAUGAUAGUAGCUAAUGUUUUUCCAAGAGCUGAUGACAUACCAGAGACUACUCCAAACAACAUUUUGCAAGAAUCAAUUAAUUUUUAAAACAGUCCUACUGAUGCAGGAUUUUUCUUGGCCCCUUUGCUGGACUCGUUGCAGGGGGCACCCCAUCUGCUCAGCCUGCCAUGCUCAGCCCCUGGUGGGAGGGAGCACACAAGGGAGUGAGCGCAGGGUCUGGCAGGCUGUCCGGAGUGCUGACACAGGAGCAAACUACAUGUAAGGCCCGUGGCCAGACAGGGCAUAUCACCCCCAGGGGAAGGUGGCAGGGCCCAGGCAGGGGUGCUCAUGACCCGGAAGCCCCAGAGGGGGUGUUACAGUGUGCUAAUGAGCACUUUUAGUUCCACCGCCUUCCUGCAGCUCGACAAAUGGUGGUGUGUUAGCCCCUCAGCCAGCCUCUUGCCCUGCUCUGACCCGUGGCUCUGGGACUGGUGUGGCUCCAGGGCCGGCUACCUCCCCCCAUGGCUGCUUCUGUUGCAUGGGGCAGCUGCCCUCCACUGGUGAGGGCAAAGGGCCAGUGUUACAGCCUUUCUGGGUACCCACGUUCACUGAGUCCCAAGCUCUUGUCCAGCAUCCAAGAAGAAUGAAGUCAUGCUGACAAUUGAAGGGUAGUAAAGGUGGAGAAUUUUCUUGAGUAAUGAAACAGCUCUCAGCAGAGAGGGAACAGGAAGGUUGGGUCAUCUCUCCUGAAGUCAGUUCAUCUCUCUCAGUGUGUCUGAGUCUGGGGCUUUUAUAGGCACGGGAUAGGGGAGUGUGUGCUAACUGGUUUGCGAGUAUGCAAAAAAGGUUAAAGCCACCAGUCAGAGGUGGACAGAGUGUAAAGGCAGUUAGUGUAGAUAUAUGUGAAAUAGGUGAAGGGUGGGGAUCCAUCCAAGGAAAGCACACCAAACAGGAAGACGGGUUCUCAAUCCAGUCUGUGGAUUUGACUUGUAGCUUGACCUUCAGGCUUUAAACUGUCUUUGGCUUGAAGAUGGGGUUUCACCAGGAACCCAUCCCUGUCGGCCUAGGAUUUCUCUGCCUCCUGCCUCUGUCACUACAAGGUGAAUUCUGUAAUAAUCCCAUGCUCUAGAGAAAGAAUUCAAGGCACACAAAGUUUAUGCCAUGAGUUUUAAGAGAUUGGGGCUUAAGCAGUUUGGUAUCAAUGCUUACGCUUGGCAUAAUUUUUUAGUGGAGGGCCAGAAAGUAAUUUUAGAGUAUUACUGACCAGAUGGUCUCUCUCACAACUAUCACCUCUGCUAUUGUAGCAUAGAAGCAGCCAACGUGUAAAGAAAUGGAUGUGAAUGUUUUCUAAUAAAACUUUAUUUGUAAAAACUGAUGGGAGCCAGGAGCUGGUCUGUGUACCUUAGCUUGCUAGCACCUCUUCUAAACCUGCUCUGCUCUGCCUGUCAGGAGCAUGCUAUUCCAGGAAAAGUGGCUGCAAUGAUGGGCUCCUGGGCCUUCAGGAACUUGUCCUAUAUCCUGCUGUGAUGUCUCUCUGUCCAUUGCUCUGUCUUUGGCCUUGAUUCUUAAACUAGAAACGGAAGCUAACAUAUGCCACUUUUCCUCAAUUUUUUUCUGAAGUUGUUGUCUUUUUACAGGAUUUCUAGUGAGGAGAGGUCAGUGAAUACACGAGGAAAGAUCUCUUUGACAGCACAUAGUUAGAUGAACUUGGCUUGUAGGAAUUGUCUGAUGAGGGGGAGGUAAAAGAUUAUAUUUGUAUUUCUAAAGGGAUAAGUAGGAAACUGGGAAAAGGGAAGGAGGAGAAAAGAAGAUAAAAUAAUAAAACAACUAUCUCCUAGUAAAUUAGGGGUUCUCGGUUACAAAAUGAACUAGGUUUGUUUCAAUCUGUAGCUCAAACCAGUGUUUCCCAAGCUGUUUCUGCACAGUGGAAUUACCAAGAGCUCUUAAAACAUGCCUAUUCCUGGCUCCCACCCUCUGACAUUCUGGCUUAAUUGCUAGGACCUGAACCUGGUCAUUGGGCGAUUUAGAAGGUCUCCCAGGUGAUUCUAAUCUGCAGCACAGUUGAGGAACCACUGACGUAGACUCUUCAUCUUAUAACAGCCUGUCAGGGGCUUGUGGUUUCUGCUUUGGAGAAGGCAGGGUGAAGGGAAGAGACAAUAUCUUUGCCUUCUGAGUUUUGAGCAGUUCUAGCGCCCGGUAAACAGCACCCUAGUAACCUGGCGAAUAGACAGAUUGGUGAGUGAAUAGGUGGAUGUGUCACAGGCAUUUGAACCAGAGCGACUCCAUCUUGAACAGGAGCUGGGUAAAAUGAGGCUGAGACUGGCUGGGCUGCAUUCCUAGGAGGUGAGGCAUUCUAAGUCACAGGAUGAGAUAGGAGGUUGGCACAAGGUACAUGUCAUAAAGACCUUGCUGAUAAAACAGUUUGCAUUAAAGAAGCCAGCCAAAUCCCACCAAAACCAAGAUGGCAAUGAUGUGACCUCUGUUUGUCCUCACUGCUCAUUAUAGGCUAAUUAUAAUACACUAGCAUGCUAAAAGACACUCCCACCAGCACCAUGACAGUUUACAAAUGCCAUGGCAACAUCAGGAAGUUCCCCUAUAUGGUCUAAAAAGGGGAGGAACCUUCAGUUCUGGGAAUUGUCCACCCCUUUCCCGGAAAACUCAUGAAUAAUACACUGCUGAUAUCAUGGCAUAAAUCAGAGGAAAGUAAAUAGACCAAGAUGAUCUUUAUAAAACUCCUGCAAGUGUUAAGUGUGAUUGAACAACAGCAUAACACUUUCCUAACCGAUUCCCACAGGUGCAUGCAUUGAGCUGAGGGCUGGGAGAGCACUUUGUUGGGAGCCCCAGUUAAGGGAUUCGUGGUACUCAUGAGGAGCAGAGAUGCAUGAGUCUCCUCGCUGACUUUUCAGGUCCUCUCGCCGUUGUCUGACUCCAUCCUGGCUGAGAAGACGGUGAUUGUCCUGGAUGACCGAGUCGCCAUCGUGGAGCUGGGAGUGCAGCUCGUAGCUGGCAUGUCUCUCUCCCUGCAGCCACACCGAGCAGACAAAAGGGCCAUCGUCUCCACAGCCGCUGCCCUGGAUGUUCUUCUGUCCCCACAGCAGGGGGAAGAAUUGAUAUAUCUGAACUGGAAAAUAAUUUUCAUAUGCUCAGUUUGCUAAUAUAGUUUGGAGAUUUUUUUAAGGCCACUUACCAAAAAAAAGGUAAUUUUAUGUUUUUCUUAUGAGAUAUUCCAAAAUACUGUGGCAUUAGAAAGUUGUGAUUUUCACUGGAAACAGAAAGAAAUAAGCCAGAUUUCCCCACCUCCAUAAAUCAAUUCCAGAUCCCAAUGGUUUUGACUGCAUUUAUCAGUCUUUCUUUAUUGAAACUCUCUGUCUCACAUGUCUAGCCCAGAGCUCAAAAUGCUGAAUAGAAGGAAGGGAGAGGUCUGUGCACUUUGCUGAGUUUGUGCCAUGGAAGAAAUCUAUACUCACACAUGCAUGGAAAAGCGUCAAUAUUUGCAGUGGCAAAGAACUAGUAGUUAUGCUAAGGUCAAUUUCAUGCCAAAACAAUAAGAAAUAUUCUAUAUUUUAUUAAUUUUUUUAAAAACUUGUAGGGCCUCUGGGAAUCCUACAUGGGAACCCAGAAUAUAUUCUGUCUAUGUAUUUCAGGUUCUGGAACUUCAGCUUUAGAAAAUCAGUUUCAUUGGAAACCCUCUUCCAGUGUGACCUUGUGUUAUUGCCAACUAAAAAAUACUCAAGUAGAGGAUUUCCAAGACUAAGUUAUAUUUUUUCCUACAACAAGAUACCUAAAGCCACACAUCCAUGUGUUUGGUUCAGAAACUCUCCAGUGUCUUCCAACACCCAGGCUUUUUCCAUCCCCCUGUUCCAGUUUCUUCUGACUACUGGCUUGGUCCUUAUAUUGCCACCUCAUGCCCUAAAAUGGCUACCAGAGCUCCUAGCAUCAGACAACCAUACAACUGUAUUCACACAACCAUGGUCAAAAGAAGGACAAAGUCAGGUUUCUACAUGUGCAUCUCACUAAUUACGGAAGAAUCCCCUUACAGAUGUGCCCGUUGAGAUGUCCUCACAGGUAUCUUUGACCAGGAUUUAGUUACACGUCUUUGACAAAGGAGUUUGGAAAUCCUCUCAAGUCUGUGAGUUGUAUCAGAAAAAAAAAAAAAGGGAAAACAACUGAGAAGAGGCAAAGAAAGAGCUUUCUACAUAUACCUAGACCUGAUUAAACUUUCCUUUGAUCUCUAAAACCACUUUGCGGUUCAUAAAUCUUAUUAACUCAAAUGCCCUUCAUUUGAAAUUUAUGAUAAUUUGGACAAGGACAAGGUAUAAAUUAAGAAAAUAUCUGGUAAGCGAAUAAAAUAUUUCAAAAUUAAUAGUAUCAAAUGAUAGAAGUACAGAAGUACUACCAGCCCUUGCAAGGGAUAAAUAAAC